GUGGACCCUACACCACAUAUAUUAAAAUUGGAACAAUACAGAAAAUAUUAGCAUGGCCUCUGUGCAAGGAUGACAUACAGAUUUGUGAAGCUUCUAGAGAUGUC